CUAAUCAGUUUAUACCCCACGCAAACACCGUAAUUCCACAUUCCGGUCCCUUUCAAACCAGAAAUCAAAAUUAUUCCAGCCGCGGACUAAUUCCCCACACCUUCCCCGCGUGGAUACGACAGUCGAGCGCCAAGCCAACACUCUCCUCAAAGCGGCGACGUCCCAAUCCCGCACCGCAAUGCUACUGGGAGCGCGAAAAAUCCGAUGGCGUCUCCGCCGUCAACAUCUCAGCCUCUCCUACACUCCAAGUAUCAAGCUGAACUUCCACUCCUUGUCCCAACCCAAGGUCGAAUCCGACGACUUCUUGCCGUGGCUGGAGCGGAAGGCCGGCGCCGAGAUUUCGUCGGCACUUUCAAUUGGGAAAUCGGCGUACGGAACUUCUCUUUUUGCUUCAAAGAGCAUAACAGCUGGAGAUUGCGUUUUGAAGGUUCCGUACAGAGUGCAACUAGCUCCGGAUGAUCUCGUUCCGGAACUGAAAGAUUUGUUGAGUGAUGGAGUUGGCGAUGCUGCAAAGCUUGCCACUGUCGUUUUGUUUGAGCAGAGAAUGGGCAAUGAUUCCAGGUGGGCCCCUUACAUUCGCUGGCUUCCUCGCCCGGAGGAGAUGCAUUGCACGAUAUUUUGGAGUGACGAUGAGCUGGAGCUGAUUCGCCAAAGCUCUGUAUAUCAGGAAACAAUUAAUCAAAGAUCUCAAAUCAAAAAGGAAUUUUUGGCAAUUAGGACGGCUUUCAAGAACUUCCCUGAAAUGUCCAAAAGUAUCACCUAUAAGGAUUUCAUGCACGCAUAUGCUUUAGUGGAUUUCGCAGUUACUUCUCGAGCAUGGGGAAGCAUGAAGGGUUAUUCCCUGAUCCCAUUUGCUGAUUUUUUGAAUCAUGACGGCACUUCAGAAUCAUUAGUGUUGAGUGACAACGACAAACAUUUCUCAGAGGUCAUUGCUGACCGCAAUUAUGCUCCUGAUGAACAGGUACUGAUAAGAUACGGAAAAUUUUCAAAUGCUACCCUGCUUCUUGACUUUGGGUUUACACUUUCAUCCAACAUCCACGACCAGGUCGAGAUCCAGGUCAAUAUACCUCACCAUGACGUCCUUCGUGAAAUGAAGUGGGAACUUUUGAAGAGACAUCACAGACCAAUCAGUAAUGAUGUCAAUGGUUUCGACUCUUCAAUGGAUUCUUUCACUAUCAAGGAAGUUAGGUCUGGUAGUGGAAAAGGGAAAGGAAUUCCUCAGUCACUUCGUGCUUUUGCUCGUGUUCUAUGUUGCGCCUCUCCUCAAGAACUUAGUGACCUGGCCAAGGAAGCUGCAGAACAUGAUGGUCGAUUGGCUCGACGUCCUUUAAUAAACAGCAGCAGAGAGAUUGAAGCACAUCAGAUGUUGUUAUCAAAAUUAACCCAAUUAGCUGACGUUGUGAUGCAUCUAUCAAGUCUUUGGGACCUAUAAGUUCUCCAGUUACUUGUGAAAGACUUUCUAUCCGGAGGCAAAUGGCUCAGGAUCUCCUCAAUGGUGAACUUCGUAUCCUCAAAUCUGCUUCUGCAUGGCUAAGAAACUACUGCGACACUUUGACUACAACAGACUGCUAUAGAUGAUGAUAUUAGUUUUGCAAUACCACCAAAGACUUGAGAGAGGUAAUAUCAUCGGAGAUUAUUUACGUGAUCAGACACAGUUACAAGUUAUGGAUUCAUAACAACUGAACGUGAGAAACCGGGAUUCUGGAAAACUAGGAGCCCACAAGAUUAGGCUAAUAUGAAGGAAAACCCACCAAACUGGCUCUUACGCAUUUGGAGCGGGAAUGUGGGAUAUGAGGGUACAACUAAAAUAGAAGACACAUUUUUGCUGGGUGAAUUUGGAUUUCUGUGUAAUGCUUUCUCAAGUGAAUGAGGUUAUAGUAGUAAAUUUUUAUAAUAUAGUCCACAUUUUUAAUAAAUCCGCCUGUGUAAGUUUAUCUUACACUGCCGGUCCCAAGGCCGGAAAAAGGAGGAGGGGGAGUGUGUCAGUCAUUAGCGAUCACCCAUGAGGAGAGAAAGGAGUUUGGAGAGAAGAUCAACGAGUCCUCAUGACAGCCGAAGUCCUAAGCGUUGUAGGGCUUCACCUCCAGUAUCCAAUGGGAGGAGGCACGUUCAAUCCCCCGAAGGGACGAGACCACAAGAGCAGGGUAGCCUCUCCCCGCAUUGUAUAGUGAUUCAAUGAACUAGAUCUCAAUUCAGAUUGUGAUGUAAGGACUUUAAUUUCUUCAGUGCAUAUUAAAAUCCAAGUAGAUGUAAUAAUUUGUAAUAGGAUGUAAAGAAAAUUUACUAAAAAUAGUUUUGAUAAUAAAAUUAAAAUUAACUUACAGAAACCUUGACUGAAAGGUUUUAUUAGAUAGUAGCUUGAAAUGAAAUUGAAUUCACAGUAGUGAUAAUAAUAUUCAAUUCUCUAGAUGCAUGUGCUUUUCUUUGUGAUAUAUAUUUAACCAUUUGAAAAUUCUUAUUGUUGUGAUUGUGUUGAGCUUGUUGUGUAUUUGCUUAGCUUAAUUAUAAAUUAAGGGUGGUCAAAAUUUUAUUCAUGCAUGUUUUUUUUUCCUUUCUUCCUAGCUAUCAAUUUGUUGUCUAGGGUUUCAGUUUUAUUCAUCUUAGCAUCGUUCACUGUAUUUAAUUUUUUUUCAUUUUUUAAAUAAACUA